rnacentral:lncRNA from 1 species
ACCGAUUCCUGGCCUUCUAGGAAUUGGUACUCAAUACAGAAAAAAAAAAUAUUAUUUUUUGCUUCCUGUGGAAUAGAAGCUUGUGAGAGGGUGACUGUGAGUGAGUGAGUCUAUUUAUUAUUUGUGUGUGUGUGUUGAAAAGAGUGCCCGUUCCGAUCUGUUUGUCCAGACGUGACUUAUCAAUAUUUCUUGGUCCAAGGCAAGUCUCAAACAUAGUCCGGCCUCUUUUAUGAGAAUUUUGGGGAUUUUGGAGUGUGGCGCAUCAAUAAAAUAAAUAAAAAAGAAAGAAACGCCAAGAUGUGAACUUUUAAAAUAAGCAAAAAAUAAAUAAAUAAAUAAAAAAAUGACAACAAUCACGUCAAUGCCGGGGAAAAAAAAAAGUUUAAUUAGUGUGACUCUGUGUUUGUUUUAUUUUGUUAGUUGUGUAUCUAAAUCAGUGUCUCUUUCAUUUCCACAUAGAGAGGUUGCUGGAGAUUAGACUCAUCAGAUUCAUCUGUGCAGCUUCAUGAUGACUGAAUGAUUCAUGGAAGACACACAAAGAUCCGGAGAUGGAGAUUCUUCUCCAGGAAUUAGAAGCCCAAUCCAGCAGGAGAGAUCAGACCCUACAGAAGCCAGCUGUGUGUCUGUGAGGAGCGACACGUCAUUUGAGCUUCUACCUGACUUUAAAAAUGAAAGCAUUCCUCCUGGUUUUAGACCAAUUAAGCGGAAAAGAUCCGACUCACUGGAACCCAGCUGUGUGUCUACGGAGAGUAAUCCAUCAAUGGCAGAUUCACUGCACAUUGGAGAUAACAGGAUAUCAUUUGAUUCUAGUGACCCUCAAAAUGCUGGUGCCCAUAACACACUCAAAUCAAAUCUGAUGAAGAAGUUUCAGUAUCUGUAUGAGGGAACAGCAAAGCAGGGAAACCCAACACUCCUGAAUGAGAUCUACACAGAGCUCUACAUCACAGAGAGUGAGAGUGGAGAGAUCAGUAAUGCGCAUGAGUUGAGACAGAUUGAGACAC